AAUAAAAUUACUAUUCUCCACUCUUAAUCCAUUACUAGUAUAGUAAUUCGUGCAAUACAAUGGAUAGAUAAUUAGAAAAAAAUAAAAACAGCGACAAAGAAAGAAAAAACAAUGAUGGAAGAAGAUUAAAUAUCGAACUUAAUUAAUUUAUUAACUAGAUAUCUAUCUUACAAAUUGUAACACACUGAACUUUAGCAAAUUGCAAGGUUC
rnacentral:lncRNA from 1 species